AAACUUUGAACUUUGGGUCUUCAUUGGAAAACUAUUCUGUUUUCCAAGAACAAUUAUCUAAUCACAUAUUACUUAUUUCCCCACAAAUAAGAUUCUUUACCUCUUAAAGAAAGAUUUGUACGAUCAUUAAGCUGAAACUAUCCUCCAGCUAGUGAAAGAAAAGCACAGUAACAAGAAUUUGUCCAUAUGACCUAGGCAAAG
rnacentral:lncRNA from 1 species